CCAGAGGAAGUUCCACUUCAAGAAAUUGUUUUUAAAAACAUUCAAAAUUUUACUCGUGAAGAUUUUGACCAGGCUAAGAAAGACCUUGAAAGCUCAAAAGGUGGUGAAGUAAAGGGAUUCAAGUAUACGUACUUUUCAAGCUACAGUCCUGAGAAAAAUUGCAAAUAUGAACAAGCAAAGCAACAAAAAGCUCAAAAUGGCCAACAAAUUUUACAAAACAAAAGUAAAGAGGAAAAAGAAGCAAUACGUGCACCGGCCUUUUUACCAGUCAAUUUCAACGAGUCUACAGAUGAGUUGAAACACGGUCCAUCUACUACUAAAUUUAAGCUUACUGAUGAAGAACGACACGACACAUGUUCAGUUCAAAAAAAAUCUGAAGCCGUCCGAAGUCCAACCCAAAAAAACCUCAAGCCAAUUAGUCUCAAAAGACUACCAACAAAUGAGGAAGAUGUAGCAGAUGAGGACGCAAGUUAUUUGAUA